GAUGAAGAACGUAGCGAAAUGCGAUAAGUAAUGUGAAUUGCAGAAUUCAGUGAAUCAUCGAAUCUUUGAACGCACAUUGCGCCCGCCAGUAUUCUGGCGGGCAUGCCUGUUCGAGCGUCAUUACAACCCUCAGGCCCCCGGGCCUGGCGUUGGGGAUCGGCGGAAGCCCCCUGCGGGCACAACGCCGUCCCCCAAAUACAGUGGCGGUCCCGCCGCAGCUUCCAUUGCGUAGUAGCUAACACCUCGCAACUGGAGAGCGGCGCGGCCACGCCGUAACACACCCAACUUCUGAAUGUUGACCUCGAAUCAGGUAGGAAUACCCGCUGAACUUAAGCAUAUCAAUAAGCGGAGGA
rnacentral:misc_RNA from 1 species